UACGUAGGAGGCGAGCGUUAUCCGGAUUUACUGGGCGUAAAGAGCGCGUAGGUGGCUUUUCAAGUCGGAUGUAAAAUCUCCCGGCUCAACUGGGAGGGACCAUUCGAUACUGUUGGGCUAGAGGGCAGCAGAGGGAAGUGGAAUUCCCGGUGUAGUGGUGAAAUGCGUAGAUAUCGGGAGGAACACCAGUGGCGAAGGCGACUUCCUGGGCUGUACCUGACACUGAGGCGCGAAAGCGUGGGGAGCGAACAGGAUUAGAUACCCGCGUA
rnacentral:rRNA from 1 species